GUCUACAGCCAUACCACCCUGAACGCGCCCUGGAAGCUAAGCGGGGUUGGGCCUGGUUAGUACUUGGAUGGGAGACAUGGAGCGGUAGGAC
rnacentral:rRNA from 1 species